rnacentral:rRNA from 1 species
AUUGAACGCUGGCGGCAGGCCUAACACAUGCAAGUCGAGCGGAGCGGCGGACGGGUGAGUAAUGCCUAUGAAUCUGACUGGGAGUGGGGGAUAACGUCCGGAAACGGGCGCUAAUACCGCAUACUCUCAGAUGAGCCUAGGUCGGAUUAGCUAGUUGGUGGGGUAAAGGCCUACCAAGGCGACGAUCCGUAACUCGUCUGAGAGGAUGAUAAGUCACACUGGAACUGAGACACGGUCCAGACUCCUACGGGAGGCAGCAGUGGGGAAUAUUGGACAAUGGGCGAAAGCCUGAUCCAGCCAUGCCGCGUGUGUGAAGAAGGCCUUCGGGUUGUAAAGCACUUUAAGUUGGGAGGCGUUACCAACAGAAGAAGCACCGGCUAACUCCGUGCCAGCAGCCGCGGUAAUUC